AAGUCGUAACAAGGUUUCCGUAGGUGAACCUGCGGAAGGAUCAUUAUGAAUUAAAAUAUUGUGAAUUUACCACAACAAACAUAAAUACUAUAGUCAAAACAAAAUAAUCAAA
rnacentral:misc_RNA from 1 species